UAGGCGCGCACAUGCAACUUUUAGUUUCGAAACUGUUUGGUUUCUAAUCUGAGCACUAUAGACUUAUACGAGAGUCCGCGCACAUGCAGAAACCAUUCGGUCGCCCAUUCGAGCAACUUUUUAGUUUGUGUUUUGACACAAACUAAACGAUCACCCCAAACCAAUUCCUUAGUUUGUGUCUCAAGGAAUUUUAGGUAACUGCGCGCACUUUCAACUAAAUCGUUGAACAAUUUUCUUUAAGUGCAAGAGAGAAAAAAAAAUAGGCAAUGUUUUCCUUUCACAAAAAAUUCUGAGGGAAGAGUACCACCUUACAUCUCAAUUUCACUAGUUUUCUCUUUCAUACAUUGAUUGCGAAAAUUUAUUAGUUGCUUAAACCCAUAAAAAAUGUCUGUAUCCUACUAUGAUACACGUAACUGCGCGUACAUGCAACUAAAUAGUUUCUUUCGUAUGUUUGUAUUAGUGCAUUUCAGUGGAAUGAUUCUUUAAAGUGUGACGAGGUUAGUAGGAUACUUCCAGACGCGCAGAAUAAUAUAUCCUUCUCGUAUGUUUGUUUUCAUAAUUCAAUUUGCUACUUUUUAAACGUCAAAUGUAUUUAUGUACUGAAAGGAGAUUAUUAUGUACUUCAAUCGUAUCAAAGUGCGUCAUCGUUUAAAAAAUGGAAUAAAGCACAAUUAGCACAAAUGGGAAUGGCAAGAGUAAAAAAACGCUGUCGCCGUCGAAUGCUAUCAACCAGACUGCAAAUGGAAUUGUGUACAAUAAAGAGUAACAUAAACAACACUGAAACGGAAAAGCACCCACGGGAGCAGCAGUAUCAGGAAGAGGAGAAUUCUAUGAUAAUCCUAAUCGGAGCAAAUCUUUAUUCGAAAAGGUUCCUCUACACACAGCCUUCCUAGUAUAUUUUGGCUUUUACCUGCUCAUGAUAUUGGGCUACAUCAAUCAAUUUAUGUGUGCCCCAAAAGUAGCUAAAGAAAAUAAUCGAGUGGGCUAUAUUACGCUAUACGAUACCUUCGAGAAUUCUAUUCGCGGUAUGUCUAUCGGAAGGUCCGAGAUUGCUGGGAUUCCCCAAUUUGCAGUGUCCCUGGGUGGGGAGGUAACUCUCAAAGAUCGCAUAACCAAGGAUUACGGUUGAACAUUUGAGUUCACUGGAAAAAAAAACAAGAUGCUUAAACAGUGUUGCAGAACAGACGGCUAGGCUUUAGGCAGUCCCCGUUGUGAAGUGUGUUGGAGUAUUCUAUUGUCCGAAGUUAUUGCAUUGAUGAAGAAAUACAAACCUUAUUUGUAUUUGUAUGAGACGCAUAGUGUGGUAGCGAUGAGAGCAAAUGGUCGCGGUAUUGUCGACUAUUAUGGCGCCGAUCCGAAAGAUGUUGAUAUUCUAAUGGGAAUAUUUAAAAAGAGCUUUGGCAGUGCUGGUGGUUAUAUUGCUGAAACAAAGAAACUAAUUGAUUGAAACAACUAGCUCGGAAUACACCAUAUUUCCGACGACGAUUGGCCCAAUUAGGUGCCAUUACCUAUGACCAUGAAGAUUCUUCUGUUGUACCAAUGCUCGUCUAUCUUUAUUCCAAAAUUGGAGCUGUAGGUCGUACACAAACUUUCCGUAAGGUAGCGGUUGUUGGAAUUGGGUUUCCUGCCACUCCAAUUAUGGAAGGACGUACAUAUACGCUUAAUAGCAGUUUGAUUAUGCCUUACAAGUGAUUGAUAAAACAAGUGAUUCAGUAAUCAGUUUGCCUAAAGUAUUCAUGUAAAGUAAGAGAUUCGAAUCUUAUUAUAUAUUAAGUUAAAAGGAAUAAAUAAAUAAUAAUAAAUAAAUGAAUAAGGUCAUUUUAUAAUUCGUUUAAUAAGAAUUUCAUUUAUUUGAUGUAUUUUCUCAUAUACAUAUAUAUAAGUAUAAAGUUAGU